UACGUAGGUGGCAAGCGUUGUUCGGAUUCACUGGGCGUAAAGGGUGCGUAGGUGGUGGGGUAAGUCGGAUGUGAAAUCUCCGAGCUCAACUCGGAAAUGGCAUUGGAAACUACCCUGCUAGAGGGUCGGAGGGGGGACUGGAAUGCUUGGUGUAGCAGUGAAAUGCGUAGAUAUCAAGCGGAACACCAGUGGCGAAGGCGAGUCCCUGGACGACUCCUGACACUGAGGCACGAAAGCUAGGGGAGCAAACAGG
rnacentral:rRNA from 1 species